GGAGGGUGCAAGCGUUGUUCGGAAUUAUUGGGCGUAAAGAGCGUGUAGGCGGUCCGGUAAGUCAGAUGUGAAAGCCCUGGGCUCAACCCAGGAAGUGCAUUUGAAACUACCAGACUUGAGUACGGGAGAGGAGGGGGGAAUUCCCGGUGUAGAGGUGAAAUUCGUAGAUAUCGGGAGGAAUACCAGUGGCGAAGGCGCCCCUCUGGACCGAUACUGACGCUGAGACGCGAAAGCGUGGGGAGCAAACAGAAUUAGAUACCCUGGGUAGUCCACGCCGUAAACGAUGAGCACUAGGUGUAGCGGGUAUUGACCCCCCUGCUGUGCCGUAGCUAACGCAUUAAGUGCUCCGCCUGGGGGACUACGGUCGCAAGACUA
rnacentral:rRNA from 1 species